UACGUAGGGAGCAAGCGUUGUUCGGAUUUACUGGGCGUAAGGGGCGCGUAGGCGGCGCGGUAAGUCACUUGUGAAAUCUCUGAGCUUAACUCAGAACGGCCAAGUGAUACUGCAGUGCUAGAGUGCAGAAGGGGCAAUCGGAAUUCUUGGUGUAGCGGUGAAAUGCGUAGAUAUCAGGAGGAAUACCGAUGGCGAAGGCAGGUCUCUGGGCUGACACUGACGCUCAUGCACGAAAGCGUGGGGAGCAAACAGG
rnacentral:rRNA from 1 species